CGCCUAACACAUGCAAGUCGAACGAAGUAGCAAUACUUAGUGGCAGACGGGUGAGUAACAUGUAGGUAUCUGCCCUUUGGCCUGGAAUAACACGAGGAAACUUGUGCUAAUACUGGAUAAGUCUUUACGGAGAAAGCUUUAUGCACCAUUGGAUGAGCCUGCACUUGAUUAGUUUGUUGGUAGGGUAAUGGCCUACCAAGACUGUGAUCAAUAGCUGAUUUGAGAGGAUGAUCAGCCACAUUGGGACUGAGACACGGCCCAAACUCCUACGGGAGGCAGCAGUGGGGAAUCUUGCACAAUGGAGGAAACUCUGAUGCAGCGAUGCCGCGUGAGUGAAGAAGGCCUUUGGGUUGUAAAGCUCUUUCGUCGGGGAAGAAAAUGACUGUACCCGAAUAAGAAGGUCCGGCUAACUUCGUGCCAGCAGCCGCGGUAAUACGAAGGGACCUAGCGUAGUUCGGAAUUACUGGGCUUAAAGAGUUCGUAGGUGGUUGAAAAAGUUGGUGGUGAAAUCCCAGAGCUUAACUCUGGAACUGCCAUCAAAACUUUUCAGCUAGAGUUUGAUAGAGGAAAGCAGAAUUUCUAGUGUAGAGGUGAAAUUCGUAGAUAUUAGAAAGAAUACCAAUUGCGAAGGCAGCUUUCUGGAUCAUUACUGACACUGAGGAACGAAAGCAUGGGUAGCGAAGAGGAUUAGAUACCCUCGUAGUCCAUGCCGUAAACGAUGUGUGUUAGACGUUGGAAAUUUAUUUUCAGUGUCGCAGCGAAAGCGAUAAACACACCGCCUGGGGAGUAC
rnacentral:rRNA from 1 species